AAUGUACUCCCUCCGUCUGAAAACGCUUGUCCGAAGAAUGAAUGUAUCUAGAUGAAUUUUAGUUCUAGAUACAUCCAUUUCUAUUCAUUUUUACGACAAGUAAUUCCGGACGGAGGGAGUACUUA
rfam:Hordeum vulgare subsp. vulgare, WGS project CAJW01000000 data, contig: morex_contig_42200